UCUGUGCUGGCUCCUGCAAGUGCACGUUGGUGACUUUCAUUCCAAUACCCCUGUGAACCUUUGGCCUCUUGCUAGCUUCCGCUGGCAGAGGAUUCUACAUACAAACUCGAAUGUAAUGAAACUCUUGUUGUGCACAAGCACUACUAUAUACAACUUUCAACAACGGAUCUCUUGGCUCUCGCAUCGAUGAAGAACGCAGCGAAAUGCGAUAAGUAAUGUGAAUUGCAGAAUUCAGUGAAUCAUCGAAUCUUUGAACGCACCUUGCACCCUUUGGCAUUCUGAAGGGUAUGCUCGUUUGAGUGUCAUUGUACUCUCACACUUCCGAUCUUGCGUUGGGAGCGGUGGACUUGGGUUUGCUGCUUUACCGUAGCUUACCUCAAAUGUGUUAGUGCAGCUCUUGGUUGGACAUAAUACGGCGUGAUAAGUAUCUUCGCCGGUGCCUCGCAAGAGGGUGGCCGAUCAGGAUGGUGUGCUCCAAACCGUCUUCGGACAAUCUCUGACAACUUGACCUCAAAUCGAGUAAGACUACCCGCUGAACUUAAGCAUAUCAAUAAGCGGA
rnacentral:rRNA from 1 species